rnacentral:rRNA from 2 species
UCGAAUCCUGUGAUACCAGAAUGACUUGUUAACAUGUAACAACAACGGGCAAGCAACUGUGGGCCUUUGGUCCCCUGUCUGUGAACCCAAGGCAGGUGUCACCUUAUGGUUCCCCUCGCCUAAUAAAAUCAACUGGGCGCUAGAUGCGCCAAGGAAGUAAAUAAUGAAUUGUUCGUUCGCUUCUCGUUCGCGGGAAGUGGCGGCGGUCCAAAACAC